AGCCAGGGGAGCUGAUGCUGAGAUUUCCCGCUAUCACGGGAUAAACCCUCAUACCUGAUCCGGAUAAUACCGGCGUAGGAAGGUCCA
rnacentral:ncRNA from 1 species